AAAAACUGGAGAGGAUCCAUUUCCCUUGCCCCCUUCCCCCUAACCCUAAAUCCCCAAAAGCCAAAACAGCAGUCCUUCAAGUCUUCCUCAGCUUCUCAUCACACCAUACAUAGUUGAUCACCACACCUCACCUCACCUCACCGUCGGCCUGUCGUCUUCUUUCUCCCCUCGUCACACCAACACUCUUCCUCGCAGUCUCUCUCAGUCUCGAAGACUCUCUUCCUCUGCUUCAUCUCGCUGGCUUCACAGUGUGUCCGAGUACGUCGAGUUCGUGGCUCCGCGUCUCUCGUCGUCGUCGUCGCGUCUCCUGCGUCACUGCUGCGGUGCCACCUCUCCGUCGCUGCUGCGGUGCUGCCUCUCCGUCGCUAGAAUCUGCCUCAUCCAGUUACGUGAAACCGGUUUUACCGGUUCAACCAGUGAUUUAUCGGUUGAACCAGUAAACCAGUGAACCAGUAACCUGACCAGUUUGAUCACCGAUUCGGUUCUUACAACUAUGGUAGAGGGGCUCACGGUUGAGGGUAUAUUGGAAAAUUGGUCCAAGUUGAAGCCUGUUAUCAUGGAAGAGUGGAGUGAGAAUAGAGAAACUUUGGUAGAUCUUUUUGGAAAGUAGAGAUGAAUGGUUAGAGCAGGAUUUUGCUACUUGGAUCGGUGCAAAUAGAUUCUAUCCUGGUGUUUCUGAUGCAUUAAAAUUUGCAAGCUCGAGAGUGUAUAUUGUCACCACGAAACAGAGCCGUUUUGCCGAUGCUUUACUUUACUCCGAGAGCUUGCUGGGGUGACAAUUCCACCUGAAAGAAUAUAUGGUCUAGGAACUGGGUCAGUGUAGUAUAUAUUCGUCUAAAAUAAUGUCCAGUGAUGCUUUAACAUUUUUUUUCUUUUCUUUUCUCUUGCUUUAUUUUUUGAAAGGAAAUUCACUUUCCUUGCACCAUCUUUGGUUUUACCGGUAGGCCUAAGGUGGAAGUCAGCUUCAAACUUCAAAAGAGACCAGAGCACCAAGGACUCACACUUCACUUUGUUGAGGAUCGGCUUGCUACCUUAAAAAAUGUCAUCAAAGAACCUGAGUUAGAUCAAUGGAAUCUGUAUUUAGGGAACUGGGGUUACAACACUCAGAAAGAGAGAGAGAAGAAGCUGCGGCUAUCCCCAGAAUUCAAGUUCUCAAGCUGUCGGACUUCAGUAAGAAGUUGAAAUGAUUGUUUGUUGCCUUCAUUGAAUUUUCACUUUUUCAGGCGUCAGCAUUGAACUGAUCAUUUUGUUACCAUCUCAUUUAUAAAGAAAGUCAGUUUGUUGUGACCACAAUCUUUCUAUUUAAAAUGGCUGCUGUAACUGUAUCCUCUAAUGUAUAUAGAGAAAUGUUUUUUCAGUACAUAGUAAUAUAGUAUAUAUACACACACAAUAAAUUGACAGUUGAUUAUUGAAACUCAAAACUGGUUUUCAUUAUGUAAGUGUUAUGUUCAAUAAGAAAAGAUAGAUAAUAGAUAGAUCUA